rnacentral:sRNA from 1 species
GCCAGGUGUGGUGACACACACCUGUAGUCCCAGCUACUUGGGAGGCUAAGGUGGGAGGAUGCCUUGAGCCCAGGAGGUUGAGGCUGCAGUGAGCCAUGAUCGCACCACUGCACUCCAGCCUGGCCGACAGAGCGAAACUCUGUCUCAAAAAUUAAAAAUAAAAAUAAAAUAAAAUAUUCCUUUUUUUUUUUUUUUUUUUUUGAGACAGUCUCGCUCUGUCGCCCAGGCUGGAGUGCAGUGGCACAAUCUCGGCUCACUGCAAGCUCCGCCUCCUGGGUUCACGCCAUUCUCCUGCCUCA